rnacentral:rRNA from 1 species
UACAGAGGGUGCGAGCGUUAAUCGGAUUUACUGGGCGUAAAGCGUGCGCAGGCGGUUUUGUAAGACAGCUGUGAAAUCCCCGGGCUUAACCUGGGAACUGCGGUUGUGACUGCAAGACUGGAGUGUGGCAGAGGGGGGUGGAAUUCCACGUGUAGCAGUGAAAUGCGUAGAGAUGUGGAGGAACACCGAUGGCGAAGGCAGCCCCCUGGGUCAACACUGACGCUCAUGCACGAAAGCGUGGGGAGCAAACAGG